rnacentral:rRNA from 1 species
UACGUAGGGGGCGAGCGUUUAUCCGGAAUUACUGGGCGUAAAGCGCACGCAGGCGGUCUACCAAGUUUGGAGUGACAGUUUCCGGCUCAACCGGGAAAGUACUUUGAAAACUGGUAGACUUGAGGACGAGAGAGGAACAUGGAACUCCAGGUGUAGUAGUGAAAUGCGUAGAUAUCUGGAAGAACACCGAAAGGCGAAGGCAAUGUUCUGGCUCGUUUCUGACGCUCAGGUGCGAAAGCCAGGGGAGCGAACGGG